GUAUUUUAAUUUAUGCAGAUGCGGCUCAAUAAACACAACCCCGUGGCAUCUUAUAACGAUUCAUGUGGAUGGAAUAUGGUUACAUCCCAUCUCCCAUGUGUGUACAUAAUCUUGAAAAUCAUUAAGGGAGGGGCAUAUUCCGUCAAAGAUAAUAUGAUGGAGUCAAGUUUGGCAUAUGACGAAUCCAAGUGCUUGCUCCAUAUGUUUAUGAAUUAAAGGUGUGGUUGCAUAAUUAACAAUUCUUGUGUUGUCUUGUGAUGAUUCAUGUAGAUGGAUUGUAACGAGACUACAACAAAAUCAAUAAGCAAUGAUCAUUUAGCUUCUAGUAAAGGCAGUGAUUUUAGUCAACAUAAAGUGGAUAUUGCUUUUUCAAUGGAGGUUCGUUCAGACUCAUCGUGAUUACAACAAAUGUACUACACUAACAAAACUUUGUGGCACAAAUUAAGAUUCAAAAAGACGUAUUUCCAAUGUUGGUGUAAAUGAGGGUAAUAUUACUAAUAGUAAUUUGAUUGUGAUUUAAAAGAAGAGAAUUUAUAUCACAUUAAUUAAGUGAUCGAAUUUAGAUGUUUACAAAAAUGAAGAUGUAUUUAUUUGUAACAAAUAAUUGCUAUUGUAUAUAGUGAGUUUUA